CCUACGGGAGGCUGCAGUGAGGAAUAUUGGUCAAUGGACGAGAGUCUGAACCAGCCAAGUAGCGUGAAGGAUGACUGCCCUAUGGGUUGUAAACUUCUUUUAUAUGGGAAUAAAAUGUUCCACGUGUGGGAUUUUGUAUGUACCAUAUGAAUAAGGAUCGGCUAACUCCGUGCCAGCAGCCGCGGUAAUACGGAGGAUCCGAGCGUUAUCCGGAUUUAUUGGGUUUAAAGGGAGCGUAGGUGGAUUGUUAAGUCAGUUGUGAAAGUUUGCGGCUCAACCGUAAAAUUGCAGUUGAAACUGGCAGUCUUGAGUACAGUAGAGGUGAGCGGAAUUCGUGGUGUAGCGGUGAAAUGCUUAGAUAUAACGAAGAACUCCGAUUGCGAAGGCAGUUCACUGGACUGCAACUGACACUGAGGCUCGAAAGUGUGGGUAUCAAACAGGAUUAGAUACCCGUGUAGUC
rnacentral:rRNA from 1 species